UACGAAGGGAGCUAGCGUUGUUCGGAAUUACUGGGCGUAAAGGGCGCGUAGGCGGACAUCUAAGUCAGGGGUGAAAUCCCAGGGCUCAACCCUGGAAUUGCCUUUGAUACUGGACGUCUCGAGUUCGGGAGAGGUGAGUGGAAUUCCGAGUGUAGAGGUGAAAUUCGUAGAUAUUCGGAGGAACACCAGAAGCGAAGGCGGCUCACUGGCCCGAUACUGACGCUCAUGCACGAAAGCGUGGGGAGCAAACAGG
rnacentral:rRNA from 1 species